CCUACGGGAGGCUGCAGUGGGGAAUAUUGGGCAAUGGGCGAAAGCCUGACCCAGCCACGCCGCGUGAAGGAAGAAGGCUCUCUGGUUGUAAACUUCCUUUGAUAGGGAAGUGAAGAAGACGGUACCUGUCGAAUAAGCCAUGGCUAACUACGUGCCAGCAGCUGCGGUAAUACGUAGGUGGCAAGCGUUGUCCGGAUUUACUGGGUGUACAGGGUGUGUAGCCGGGCGGACAAGGGAGAUGUGAAUUCUGGGGGCUCAACCCCCGAACUGCAUUUGACACUGUUGGUCUAGAGGAUAGUUGAGGUAGGCGGAAUGCAUGGUGUAGCGGUGAAAUGCGUAGAGAUUAGGAAGAACACCGAUGGCGAAGGCAGCCUACUGAGCGACAACUGACGGUGAGGCGCGAAAGCGUGGGGAGCAAACAGGAUUAGAUACCCCUGUAGUC
rnacentral:rRNA from 1 species